rnacentral:lncRNA from 1 species
GAUGUCCCCAAAGACCCCAAAUAUCCCUGUCCCCAAACAUCCCCGGAUGUCCCCAAGUGUCCCCAAAUGUCCCCAGAGGUCCCCAAAUAUCCCCGUCUGCAAGUGUCCCAAAUGUCCCCAAGUGUCCCUAAAGUGUCCCCAAAUAUCCCCAUCCCCAAAUGUCCCCAUCCCCAGUUUCCCCAGAUGUCCCCAAAGGUCCCCUGUGUCCCCAAAUAUCCCCAUCCCCAAUGUCCCCAGAUGUCCCCAAACGUCCCCAGAUGUCCCAAGUAUCCACAAAUAUCCCCAUUCCCAAUGUCCCCAAGUGUCCCCAGAUGUCCCCAAAGUGUCCCCGCUCACGGCCAGCACGGCGCCAUCGCAGAUGACGAGGUAUCCCAGCUGGUCGGGGACGCGCUCCAGGCCCUGCGUCAGCGCCGUCGUCUGGGGACGGGGGGGACA